rnacentral:misc_RNA from 1 species
GAUGAAGAACGUAGCGAAAUGCGAUAAGUAAUGUGAAUUGCAGAAUUCAGUGAAUCAUCGAAUCUUUGAACGCACCUUGCACCCUUUGGACUGCUCCAAAGGGUAUGCUCGUUUGAGUGUCAUUGUACUCUCACACUCUCUGAUCCUUUGGAUUUGGGGAGCAGUGGACUUGGGUGCUUGCUGCUUCCUUGUGGCUCACCUGAAAUGCAUCAGUGCAUCUCUCGAUUGGACAUAGUACGGCGUGAUAAGUGUCUUCGCCGGCGCCUCAUUCGAGGGUGGCCGAUCGGGAGCUCUGUGCUUCAAACUGUCUUCGGACAACAUCUGACAACUUGACCUCAAAUCGAGUAGGACUACCCGCUGAACUUAAGCAUAUCAAUAAGCGGAGGA